UUGGUAAUCGUAAGAGUGAUCCUAUGCUGCCUAGAAAAGCUUCGUGAGCGAGAUAUUGGCCGCCCGUACCCCAAACCGACACAGGUGGAUAGGUAGAGAAUACUAAGGCGAUCGAGAUAACCAUGGUGAAGGAACUCGGCAAAAUACCCCCGUAACUUCGGAAUAAGGGGGACCUGAGACGUAUUAGAAUUUACUUCGAAAGCGUCGAGGGUCGCAGAGACCAGGCCCAAGCGACUGUUUACUAAAAACACAGGUCCGUGCUAAGUCGUAAGACGAUGUAUACGGACUGACUCCUGCCCGGUGCUGGAAGGUUAAGGGGAAGGGUUAGCUUCGGCGAAGCCUUGAACUUAAGCCCCAGUAAACGGCGGUGGUAACUAUAACCAUCCUAAGGUAGCGAAAUUCCUUGUCGGGUAAGUUCCGACCUGCACGGAUGGAGUAACGACUUGGGCGCUGUCUCCACCAUGGACUCGGCGAAAUUGCACUACGAGUAAAGAUGCUCGUUACGCGCAGCAGGACGGAAAGACCCCGGGACCUUCACUAUAGUUUGGUAUUGGUGAUCGGAGUGACUUGUGUAGGAUAGGUGGGAGACUUUGAAGCUUGGACGCCAGUUCAGGUGGAGUCAUCGUUGAAAUACCACUCUGGUCACUUUGGUUAUCUAACCUAGGUCCAUUAUCUGGAUCAGGGACAGUGCCUGAUGGGUAGUUUGACUGGGGCGGUCGCCUCCUAAAAGGUAACGGAGGCGCCCAAAGGUUCCCUCAGCCUGGUUGGCAAUCAGGUUUCGAGUGUAAGUGCACAAGGGAGCUUGACUGCGAGAGAGACAUCUCAAGCAGGGACGAAAGUCGGGACUAGUGAUCUUCUGGUGGCACAUGGAAGCGCCAGGACUCAACGGAUAAAAGGUACCCCGGGGAUAACAGGCUGAUCUUGCCCGAGCGUCCAUAGCGACGGCAUGGUUUGGCACCUCGAUGUCGGCUCGUCGCAUCCUGGGGCUGGAGUCGGUCCCAAGGGUUGGGCUGUUCGCCCAUUAAAGCGGCACGCGAGCUGGGUUUAGAACGUCGUGAGACAGUUCGGUCCCUAUCCGCUGCGCGCGUAGGAGUCUUGAGAAGAGCUGUCCUUAGUACGAGAGGACCGGGACGGACUAACCUCUGGUGUGCCAGUUGUUCUACCAAGAGCACGGCUGGUUGGCUACGUUGGGAAGUGAUAACCGCUGAAAGCAUCUAAGCGGGAAGCACGCUUCAAGAUGAGGGCUCCCACAGAAUAAUCUGGUAAGGCCCCCUAUAGACCAUGGGGUGAUAGGUCGGAUGUGGAAGUGCAGCAAUGCACGGAGCUGACCGAUACUAAUAGGCCGAGGGCUUGUUU
rnacentral:rRNA from 1 species